rnacentral:rRNA from 1 species
CGGUAAUUCCAGCUCCAAUAGCGUAUACUAAAGUUGUUGCAGUUAAAAAGCUCGUAGUUGGAUUUCUGCGGGGACGGAGCGGCCGGACGCAACUUGCGUCUCGAGCUAGCGCUUUCCCCACAUCCUGCCGCGAACCGUGCUACCAUUAGCUUGGUGGCGCUGGGGAUCGGCUCGAUUACUUUGAGAAAAAUAGAGUGUUCAAAGCAGACCACACGCCUUGAAUAAGUUAGCAUGGAAUAAUGACUAAGGACUUCGGUUCUAUUUUGUUGGUGCUCGGGACUGAAGUAAUGAUUGAUAGGGACAGUUGGGGCGGUCUGUAUUCCAAAGCGAGAGGUGAAAUUCUUAGACCUUCGGAAGACAAACAGCUGCGAAAGCGUUCCGCAAGGAUGUUCCCUUUGAUCAAGAACGGAAGUUGGGGGAUCGAAGACGAUCAGAUACCGUCGUAGUCUCAACUAUAAACUAUACCAGCUAGGGAUCGGCCAACGUUUAACUUUAUCGACUUGGUCGGCACCUUAUGAGAAAUCAAAGCAUCUGGGUUCCGGGGGGAGUAUGGUCGCAAGGCUGAAACUUAAAGGAAUUGACGGAAGGGCACCACCAGGCGUGGAGCCUGUGGCUUAAUUUGACUCAACACGGGAAAACUUACCAGGUCCAGACAUAGGAAGGAUUGACAGAUUGAUAGCUCUUUCUUGAUUCUGUGGGUGGUGGUGCAUGGCCGUUUUUAGUCGGUGAAGUGAUUUGUCUGCUUAAUUGCGUUAACGGACGAGACCCCAGCCUGCUAAAUAGCGCGGCCGAGCUUUGCUCGGUGCGAGCUUCUUAGAGGGACCAUGAUGCGCGAUAGCACAAGGAAGUUUGGGGCAACAACAGGUCUGUGAUGCCCUUAGAUGUUCUGGGCCGCACACGGGCUACACUGGCGCCUGCAACGAGCAUAUCAGCUGGCCCGAGAGGGUCUUGGCUAAUCUUUGGAACCGGCGCCGUGCUUGGGAUUGACCAUUGCAAUUGUUGGUCAUGCAACGAGGAAUGCCUUGUAAGCGCGAGUCAUCAGCUCGCAUUGAAUACGUCCCUGCCCUUCGUACACACCGCCCGUCGCUCCUACCGAUGAAUGUUCCGAUGAAAUUUUCGGAGAGCGCCAGAGAACGGGGCUCUGCCUUGCAGAUCUGGAGGCUCAAAGUCACUUAAAUCUGAACAUUUCGAGGAAGGAGAAGUCGUAACAAGGUAGCCG